AAAAAAGAAAGAAAAAAAGAAAAAAGAAAAAAGAAAGAAAAAAGAAAGAAAGAACGGACCUCGGUCCUUGUGCAAAGCUUCCACUGGUCCUGUCCCAGGCCGAUCUUGAAGAGGGUCGCGGCAACACCCAUGUCCCGUUCCAAGCCUCGCUGUGUAAGUAGGAAACCACACUGACAACAUAGAUAGGCCAUUAGCAUGCCCUCAAAACAACGUACAAAACUUUUAUAGUCUGAAUGAUUUUAAUUACAGAAAUAUGUUUAUGAAUUUGUCUUUUUUAAUUUUAAUUUUCUUUAACAUUAAUUUAUUUCAAAGAUGUGAAACCUUCCCCUGGAAAAAUAAUUUCUGCAGACUUCAGAUUUUAUAAUUUGUUGGUUUUUCUGUCUCAGGUCCGAGUGUAGCAGUACAGCCUCGUCCAGAACCAGGAUAAGUCCACUCCUAGGCUGUUAAUGAGGAAGGUCCCGCCGAUGGACGGCCCUCCACGUUUCUUCUCCCCCACUCUCCCCCUGUCCUCUCCCCUCUACCCUCUUCUCUCCACAUUCCUCCCCAACCCAGCAGCGGCAUGGUGGCUGUCUAACAUGAGGCUGGUCCUGCCCAAGGUUUCUGCCUGUUAAAAGGAAGUUUUUCCUUGCCACUGCUACUCAUGUUAGUUGAGAUGGGCCAAAACCCAUCUUAGGUUGGUUCUUGAUCAUCAAACAAUGAGCGUGGUCUAGACCUGCUCUUGUUCCUUGAAAAGCGUCUUGAGAUGAAGACUGUUGUGAAUUGGUAUGGAGCCAGAUCAGGCUCCAUAAAUUGGUGCUAUAUAAAUAAAAUUUGAUUUGAAUUGAUUUUUAUCAGAGCAAUUUCUGAGUUACAUGAAUGAUCCUGAUCCUGUGUCUUCUGCCACUCAGCAAAAACAUAAAAAGAAAGAAAAAAAGAAAGAAAGACCUUUUAAUCGUGUUUGAUUUAUUAACAGUAUUGUGUGAAGGAAAAAAAAAGUCUUUUUAGGGAUGCCGCAGGAUUUCAUGGUUUUAUUCAUGCUGAUAUGACUGAAUGUUGAUAAAAGCAGUGAUGGAUUCUUAUAUCCGAGCUAAAAAAUAUCAAUCCUGCUGAGUUUUCCUGGUUUUCCCUCAGGCUGUUUUUCACUGGAAUUGGUUCACAGCCUGGUCUCUGUACAUUUUGUUGCCUAUUUUGGAGGCUUGUUGUUAGCUGGAAUAGGUGUGCUGAUACAAAAUUGUUUGGUAAAUCACUUUCUAAGUAACUGCACAAUUAUAAUUUAGAAAAAUAAGAGUAAAGUGGGAAAUUUAUGUAAAAUCUUCAUAUUACUUGACUGAAUUAAAUGUUAUUUUUAUGCAGCUGACAUCCUUAUUCACAUAUCUGUAUGCAAGUGGAGUUAUAAAUCAGUUCUAUGUCAUGCCAACAUCACUGUAGGAUAAGAUUCAUUCUAAUCUUAUAUCAUAAGUCUCAGUCUUAUCUUAAUGUACCAUAAGCAGAGCACCUUUCAGCAUUUAGAAAGUUAGAGUGGCACAGAAGAAACCCUCUCACUAAGAAGGCAGAAAACCUGGAGCAGACCAUGACCCCUGCUAAAAAGCCAUAAGAUAGAGACAAAAACGAAGGAGAAAUGGUUCAAAGUUCCUCAGCAUCCCUGGGUCUACCAGAGAGUUAUCUUGAACACAUAGAGUUAAGUCAAUUGUUUUUCUGAUCGGAGCAGCUGGUCCAGCUCAAAGGACACUGGGACACACAGGUGAUUGUACACAGGUGCUUUAAGGUAAUCUGAAAUUGGCCCAGUAAGCUGCUGAGGUUGUUAAAACUACAACCUUUUUCUCCAUGUGCACGGUGUAUGUAGAAGUUACAACUGUAAUUGU
rnacentral:lncRNA from 1 species